rnacentral:rRNA from 1 species
GACGAACGCUGGCGGCGUGCUUAACACAUGCAAGUCGAACGGAAAGGCCCUGCUUGCAGGGUACUCGAGUGGCGAACGGGUGAGUAACACGUGGGUGAUCUGCCCUGCACUUCGGGAUAAGCCUGGGAAACUGGGUCUAAUACCGGAUAGGAGCCAUUUUUAGUGUGAUGGUUGGAAAGUUUUUUCGGUGUAGGAUGAGCUCGCGGCCUAUCAGCUUGUUGGUGGGGUAGUGGCCUACCAAGGCGGCGACGGGUAGCCGGCCUGAGAGGGUGGACGGCCACAUUGGGACUGAGAUACGGCCCAGACGCCGACGGGAGGCAGCAGUGGGGAAUAUUGCACAAGGGGCGCAAGCCUGAUGAAGAGACGCCGCGUGGGGGAUGACGGACUUCGGGUUGUAAACUCCUUUCGCUAGGGAAGAAGCUUUUUGUGACGGUACCUAGAUAAGAAGCACCGGCUAACUACGUG